rnacentral:rRNA from 1 species
UACAGAGGGUGCAAACGUUGUUCGGAAUUACUGGGCGUAAAGCGCGUGUAGGCGGCCAUGCAAGUCGGAUGUGAAAGCCCUCGGCUCAACCGGGGAAGUGCACUCGAAACUGCAAGGCUAGAGUCUCGGAGAGGAUCGUGGAAUUCUCGGUGUAGAGGUGAAAUUCGUAGAUAUCGAGAGGAACACCGGUGGCGAAGGCGGCGAUCUGGACGAUGACUGACGCUGAGACGCGAAAGCGUGGGGAGCAAACAGG